UUCCAAUGAGCACGGGUUGAAUCCAAUACUCAGAACUUAUGAGUACUCGUGAGUGUUGUAGCCAUUUUUCCAAAAUCUUAGACCUCUACAAGCCAACCCAUGACAGUCUUAAUUCAUAUCUACUUCCAACAUAUGACCGAAUGUGGAUGGUUUGAAUAACUUAGUCAAUCAGAACAAUGACCUAGUUAUUCUGGAAGUCAAAACAUGCAAAGUGAAACACAAUAAUAAUUGAAUCCAAUAUGGUAUCAAAACCUAUGAACAUAAAUAAAACACCUUUUAUUUAUCACCAUAUGAUUACACAUUAUUCAUUGUAUAUUGUUUCAGCUAUCAAAUUUAUUCUUGAAUUUAAAAUAGUAGUUGUCCCAUGCUCCAAUNUUUAUGAUGACUGACUAAUUGAACAAAUCAAAUCAGUCUUGGCCCGGACGAACACUUCCAUUUGUCAUCAUCAAAUCAUCGAGGGGCCCGCAUAUUCGACUCAUAUGGCUUGUUUUACUACUUGUUGAAUCAUACACAAAGGCACGUUUUAUAGCACCGAGUUACCAAAUGCGUUUUCGUGCAAUCAAUGUACUAUCAACUCAUAGUAACAACUCAUAUCUCUAGGUUUGAAGAAUAUAAGAUAUUAUCGUCUCAUGAUCACUCGUGAUAAAAUCCAUGAAGUGAUUCCAAUGAGCGCGGGUUGAAUCCAAUACUCAGAACUUAUGAGCACUCAUGAGUGUUGUAGCCCUUUGUCCAACACCUUAGACCUCUACAAGCCAACUCAUGACAGUCUUAAUUCAUAUCUACUUCCAACAUAUGACCGACUGUGGAUGGUUUGAAUAACUUAGUCAUUCCGGAAGAAUAACCCAGUUUAUUCGGGAAGUCAAAACAUGCAAAAUGAAACACAAUAAUAAUUGAAUCCAAUAUGGUAUCAACCCUUUGAACAUAAAUAAAACACCUUUUAUUUAUCACCAUAUGAUUACACAUUAUUCAUUGUAUACUGUUUCAGCUAUCAACUUUAUUCUUGAAUUUAAAACAAUAGUUGUCCCAUGCUCCAAGCAUGUACACUAUGUUUUCUUAAACACUAGUCAUGCCACACACCAAGUAUGCAUACUAUGUUUGUCUAUGAUCUUUACUUUGUGAACUAGAUCAAUUGAACAUAACUUCAAUGAUUCUCUUUUCACACUCCCAAAUCCUUACUGCAAAUGCAAGAAUUCCAAAUUCAUGCCAUUUACUGAAAUCUGUUAGAUUCUAAACUUAUAUGCAUUGAUCCUCUUGUAAUGAUUAUGCACAAAGUCAUAAAGACUUGGCAACAAUCAUUACAGAGUAUUCCAAAGGAGAUCAACUCCUUGGAAAUAUCCUUCUUGCAUUAAGUUUCCUUAAUCUUACACAGAUUGAAAAUUCUAACUUUGAAACAUUUCCAGAUUCCAUUUUGACUAUCACUUCUGAACAAGAGUUGCCUCCUUACAGAUUAUGUCAAUAUGGUCCUUCCAGAAUUAUCACUAUACUUCCAACUGUCCUUGAGCAACCAAUCUUUGGUAAACCUUAGAUUGUCCUCGACAAUUGUUUAAUCCUUUUAGUCAUAUCCAGUUCUAAACCUUUUCCCUUCUUAAUGCCCCAGGCAUUUGGAAAAUUUUAGAAAGGAUGAAUAUAGCACAUGUAAUCGAUCCUAUAUCCGAAGCAUAUGGGACACGAUUCAUGAUGUCUCACAUAAAGACUAAACCAGUCUUUUGCUAUAACAUUUCCAUUUCAAUUUGCCAAGUUCUCAUAAUUCAGAUUAUGAAAAGGGAUGCCGUAAUCAUAAUCGAAUUUUAGAACGCAAAUAAUGGACUCAUAUACAGAAUUUCCUUAUGUUGAGUCAUUCCAACAUGAAAUUUAUAUUUAUAUAUAUCCUUGACUAAAUGAUUAAAACCUCAUGAUCUAAGCUUAUAGAUUUGAUAUGAAGUAUAAUUUCCUCUCCCUUAAUUAUAGCAAAACAACUUUUUCCCAAUUGAAACCUUUUAUUUUCUAUAAUUAAAAUUGCUAACUUGUAAUACUUUUUAUAAUUAUCAUGCUCCCACUAACAUGAUGAUUAUUAGCAUAACACUUAUGCUCCCACUAGCUUUGACAUGUACUCAGAAAUCAGCUGACUUUCUUACCAAAGUUCAGAUUUCUGAUACUAGAUUGCUUUGAUAAAACUUUAUCAAAAUCAUGCACCUUUCCUUAGAUAGCACACUUGUGUGUCUAAACAAUUAUGAAGAGGGAUACCAUAAUCAUAAUGCAUGGUUAGACCUUUUUCCCACUUCUCACAAGUCCAGGUCAGUGUGCCGGUAAACCACACACGCUCCACUAACGACUUUGAGAAUGCAAAUAUUACAACUGCUAUCUAGCUAAAAUCUACUUAGUGAAAGUGUUUCCUCACGAUCAUUUUCAUGAAUCGGAGAGAAACCUUAUGACGCUUAGAUCUGGUGUAUGUGUUCUUAUCCAUGUGAAUUGUCAAAACCAUAGCCACAAGACAAGGAUAAUGACAAAUCCAAACUCAUAUGGACUGAACUCAAUCUUAAUUUCUUGCCACGUGGUAGCUCAAAGACCUGUCAUUGCUUCCAAGUUGUUGUGCAACAAAUUGAGAACUCUAAGAACUCAUAUGCAAAGCCAACUUUAACUGGAAUGGGCACAGAAUAUGUCAACACGAUAGGUUAUAAACCUCAAGUCGUGUGCUAGUGAAGAACUUCAUGUUUUAUUCUUGAUUAGUUCUUGAGACUUUCAAGACCUUUAAGACUCCCACUGUCCUCUUGACAUAUAAGACUUUCUUGUCAGAUAUUCAAGAGAUAGUGUGGAUUCUAAUCAAGACAAACACUUCACACAAUUGGCCUAAGUUGGUCUUUGUUUUAUCCAAAACAUCACAACUUACCAAUUUCAAAUGUACAAGAGUAGAAAACUUUUACUCUUACAUUUGACAAGUGUUUUAAACCUUCUUUAAGACAUGUCACUCAAGUUACAAUCUUGGAGUAUGACUCUAAGACUUGUAUUGGAACGAAGUAUGACUCAUCUUCUUGAUUUAACCACUUCAAUAAUUCAUAGUUCCUCUUCUUAGUCAUAAGAAUGCACUAAGAUUUCAUUUGAGAACUAAUUGUGCUAUGGUUUCUUAAUCAUUUAGAUGAUCACAAAACUGAUACUAAAGUACUCUCCCA
rnacentral:lncRNA from 1 species